rnacentral:rRNA from 1 species
CUGCUCACUGAUUUAUCUUAUUUAAAUAGCCGCAGUACUCUGACUGUGCUAAGGUAGCGUAAUCAUUUGUUAAUUAAUUGUUAACCUGUAUAAAAGAAUUGACGAGAAAAAUUCUCUCUCUCUGUAUAAAGACCAAAUUGAUUUUAAAGUUAAAAAGCUUUAAUAUAAUAAAAAGACGAUAAGACCCUAGAAUCUUCACUUUAAAAGUUUUGUUGGGGUGACAUUUUCUUUUGUAUAAAACUAUCCCUACCUAUUAAAGGGUAAUAACUAGCUUAUAUAAUAAAUACAACUAGAUACUCUAGGGAUAACAGCUUAAUCCUCCUUAAGAGACCCUAUCGACAGGGGGGAUUAAGACCUCGAUGUUGAAUUGACUUUACCCUUCUAGGCAGCACUAGAAAAGGUAGGUCUGUUCGACCUUUAAAAAGUCACGUGAUCUGAG